rnacentral:rRNA from 1 species
AACGAACGCUGGCGGCAUGCCUAACACAUGCAAGUCGAACGAGACCUUCGGGUCUAGUGGCGCACGGGUGCGUAACGCGUGGGAACCUGCCCUUAGGUUCGGAAUAACUCCCCGAAAGGGGUGCUAAUACCGGAUAAUUUCUUCGGACCAAAGAUUUAUCGCCUUUGGAUGGGCCCGCGUUGGAUUAGCUAGUUGUUAGGGUAAAAGCCUACCAAGGCGACGAUCCAUAGCUGGUCUGAGAGGAUGAUCAGCCACACUGGGACUGAGACACGGCCCAGACUCCUACGGGAGGCAGCAGUGGGGAAUAUUGGACAAUGGGCGAGAGCCUGAUCCAGCACUGCCGCGUGAGUGAUGAAGGCCUUAGGGUUGUAAAGCUCUUUUACCCGGGAUGAUAAUGACAGUACCGGGAGAAUAAGCUCCGGCUAACUCCGUG